rnacentral:lncRNA from 1 species
CCCUCUCUGUGAUCUCCCUGGUCCUUUCCUGAUCGCUGGGCUCCCUUUUUCGGGCCUCUGGCCAAAAACUUGGUGUUGUAGUUACCCUGCUCUGCCGUGCACUUCCUACAACUGCACCCACAGUCGCGGCCAAGCAGCGAAGAUUUAAGAAACAGGAAAAGAAGUUCUCUUAUACAAUUAAGGGGGCGUUGAAUGUGCCAGGAUGUAAAUCAGCAUCUUGCGAAGUUUUGUUUGCAACAUGUAUAAUGAAAACUGGAGACUAAGAACAGUAGGUGAUGACCACAUUUGCUAGAGAUUUACAUGUGAUGUCCAGAGGUGCUGGGAAGCUAUGACAUACAAGA